rnacentral:rRNA from 1 species
GCUUUGGAAUCUUCCCAGUAGUGGGGAAUAACCAGUCGAAAGAUUGGCUAAUACCGCAUACGUCUGUAAAGGGAAAGCGGGGGCUCGUAAGACCUCGCGCUAUUGGAUGAGCCAAAGUCGGAUUAGCUAGUUGGUGGGGUAAUGGCCUACCAAGGCGACAAUCCGUAGCUGGUCUGAGAGGACGACCAGCCACACCGGAACUGAGACACGGUCCGGACUCCUACGGGAGGCAGCAGUGGGGAAUAUUGGACAAUGGGGGAAACCCUGAUCCAGCGACGCCGCGUGUGUGAAGAAGGCCUGCGGGUUGUAAAGCACUUUUAGUGGGGACAAAAAGCUACGGAUUAAUACUUCGUGGUCUUGAUUUAACCCAAAGAAAAAGCACCGGCUAACUCUGUGCCAGCAGCCGCGGUAAUACAGAGGGUGCGAGCGUUAAUCGGAAUUACUGGGCGUAAAGCGCGCGUAGACGGUUUUGUAAGUCAGAUGUGAAAUCCCUGGGCUCAACCUGGGAACUGCAUUUGAAACUGCAUGGCUAGAGUAUGGUAGAGGGAAG